GAUGGUAAUCUCCACCUCUCUCUACCCGCGUCUACGGUAACCUCUGUAUGGUGUGUCCUAUUUUUACUCCCCACGUAGCAUCUAACCUUCAUAUAACCUUCAUAUAGCCUUCCUUUUUAGCAGAUCUGAUAUGUACAUUCAUACAGUGAUACAGACGAGCAUUUUUCUAUAGCAAUCUCAAACCUUCGUUCAAGCAAUAUUUAAUCGCAAUCUGAUUUGCCUUCAAAAUUCUAGCCCUUUUCUCCAUUCAUCAAAUAUAUGGUUGAUCUCAACACAACAACCACAAAUGGCGUUUUCCUGCAGCGGCUUAACCCUCAAGCUUCGUGUUCUAGAGCGACCAUAUCUUAGAAGGAUUGGUUGAGGAAGGUUUCACACUAAAUCAUUCCCCUCCCCCAUCGGUGGGUGGUUAAAUCGGCGGAGUCGAUGUUUAUUCUUCAUAAGUUCCAGUCCCUAGGGUUUGCUUCUCGACGCCUGACCUCUUAUCUUCGAUUCACCGCCCUCCGCCUCUACUUGGAUCGUACUCAACCUUCAACUCCUAAAAAUCAAGGUUUAAGGGGCUGCCAAUGAGGGUGGUAGAGGUCUUUUAUUAUUACACAAAGCAAUUCCAUUUAUCUCCUUCAAUUCGGUCAAAAUUGGUUCUCGCGAUUUGAUAUGGCAUUUUAUUUCGGCAUUGCAUUUUUUGAUGAGAACUGUAAUGAGCGCAUUCAAAGGCUCGCUAGCUAGAACGGAGCACAUCAUUAGGAGGUUUCUCUGGUUAGAGUUGUACACAUCCGUGAAGCCACAUUGACAAAGCGAUUGAUUAUGUUUGAAAACACAAAAGUUUUGUUUUUUCUCUUUCGGGUUUCAUUGCUUCGAUACCUCAGGAGGUGUUUGGUCAUGCUAACUGCUACAACCACUUUUACAUCUUGGGUAAAAGGACAGUUGGGUAACGGGUCAAACGGGUAAUUUUCAGUGUAUGUUGUAUUAGUCAAGUUGAGAUAGGAAAAUGGCCGGGUGGAUAACGGGUCAAAUGGGUAAUUUUCAGUGUAUGUUGUAUUAAUCAAAUAGAGAUCGGAAGGGUAAUUUUCAAUGUGUGUUAUAUUUGUCAAGUAGAGAUAGGAAACUGGUCCAGCUGGCUAGCUGGCUAACUGAUCUGUUUGGCUCACCGCUCACUUUUCAUCUCCUUACUGCAUUGAGUGAGGUCGUGAUGCUUCCAAAGGAUAUGCUAUUAAACAGUACCAUCUAAAAAGCGGGUUUUAGCUUUUUUAUAAAACCAAAACUAUUUUUUAUAGAUGGUUAUUUUUAUUGGACAUGCGAGCCAAUUGAGAAGUUAAGGCAAUAUAUGUUAUAUGUUAUAUUCAGGUA